GAUGAAGAACGCAGCGAAAUGCGAUAAGUAAUGUGAAUUGCAGAAUUCAGUGAAUCAUCGAAUCUUUGAACGCACAUUGCGCCCCUUGGUAUUCCGAGGGGCAUGCCUGUUCGAGCGUCAUUAUAACCCCUCAAGCUCAGCUUGGUGUUGGGGCCUGCUACACUGGCAGCCCUUAAAAUCAGUGGCGGCGCCAUCUGGCUCUAAGCGUAGUAAUUCUUCUCGCUAUGGAGUCCUGGUGGAUGCUUGCCAUCAACCCCCAAUUUUUCUAUGGUUGACCUCGGAUCAGGUAGGGAUACCCGCUGAACUUAAGCAUAUCAAUAAGCGGAGGA
rnacentral:misc_RNA from 1 species